AUUGAACGCUGGCGGCAUGCCUUACACAUGCAAGUCGAACGGCAGCACGGGAGCAAUCCUGGUGGCGAGUGGCGAACGGGUGAGUAAAGUAUCGGAACGUGCCCAGUCGUGGGGAUAACGUAGCGGAAGUUACGCUAAUACCGCAUACGAUCUAUGGAUGAAAGCGGGGGAUCGCAAGACCUCGCGCGAUUGGAGCGGCCGAUAGCAGAUUAGGUAGUGGGUAGGGUAAAGGCUCACCAAGCCGACGAUCUGUAGCUGGUCUGAGAGGACGACCAGCCACACUGGGACUGAGACACGGCCCAGACUCCUACGGGAGGCAGCAGUGGGGAAUUUUGGACAAUGGGCGAAAGCCUGAUCCAGCCAUGCCGCGUGCAGGAUGAAGGCCUUCGGGUUGUAAACUGCUUUUGUACGGAACGAAAAGGUUUGGCCUAAUAAGCUGAGCUCAUGACGGUACCGUAAGAAUAAGCACCGGCUAACUACGUGCCAGCCGCCGCAGUAA
rnacentral:rRNA from 1 species